AUGGCUGGCAAGAGCAUCGAGGCUGCUUCCUCUCCGUUCAGGACGCUGGUCUGGCGUCGGGCCGGAACAAGGUGUCGUUCUUUCUGUGCCGCGCGCCGUCCGUUCUUGGCGCGAGAGGGCUACGCCGCCGUCGCAGUUGGCCGUGUUGACGGAGACAACGAGGGCGCCGCCAAGUCCAUGCGCCGCCUCGGCCCCAGUAGCUUGGAGUCUAAAGGGAUCGUGCCGUUCCAUGGUGCAGACCCUGCGCCGUCGUCCUUGGCCGCGCGGGGCUGCAGAUCGCACCGACGGCCAGAGGCGACCACCCGUGCGGCUGCGUUCAAAGGCGCUGUGCACAGGGAGAUGGCCAGCCUCCCAGAGAGGAAGACACCGAUCAGAAUCGACAUGAUUUUCUUACCAUGGUGUAAUCUUGAGCACGCAAAGGCGCUGUGCACAGGAGAUGGCUGGCCUCCCGGAGAGGAUGACACUGGUAAGAAUCGACAUGAUUUUCUUAUACCUUAUUCAAACCAAGACUCUUGUGCAUCGAUAUUGCUUGAUGGAUUCAUAUCUUGUGUAUUCAUACCUAGACUGUACGUUCAGAACCUACAGUUGUUUGUUGAAUCUUUUGACUCAGACAUCAAUAAUGCUUGUUUGCCACACCAACGUGAGUUCCCGGAUGACACCGAGUAG
rnacentral:rRNA from 1 species